rnacentral:tRNA from 1 species
GCCGGUGUGGCAGACAAGUGCGCCGAUCUUGUAAAUCGGAACAUGCGGGUGAGAACCCUGUCACCGGCUCCA